rnacentral:rRNA from 1 species
UACGUAGGGUGCGAGCGUUGUCCGGAAUUAUUGGGCGUAAAGGGCUCGUAGGCGGUUUGUCGCGUCGGGAGUGAAAAUCCAGGGCUUAACUCUGGACUGGCUUCCGAUACGGGCAGACUAGAGGUAUGCAGGGAAGAACGGAAUUCCUGGUGUAGCGGUGAAAUGCGCAGAUAUCAGGAGGAACACCAGCGGCGAAGGCGGCGCUCUGGACCGGUACUGACGCUGAGGAGCGAAAGCGUGGGGAGCGAACAGG